AGAGGUAAAAGGAAGCUAUGAUCUACAGAAGCUGGUCGUUGCUGUCGUCGACGGUGGUGAUAUGGGGAGGAGUUGCGUCCCUAGGCAUCGCUCAGUUCUUUCUCUUCGGCGGAAAGGAGAAGCUCCAUGAGUAUUUGUGCGCGGAGGGAGAGAGGCUGCGGCAGCUGGACAAAGCUAAAAUAUCAGCUGAGAAGCUGGCCUAGCUGAUUUGAGAGAAGUGGUAGCCAAAACAACUGUUAUAAUAAUUUCUUUGUUGUCUGAAAAUUUGAGGUUUUUCUGAAAGGCUUGCAAUGCUAUUUGCAGCUGGCAUUUGUUAUUUUUAACACUUUCAUCAUCAUCAUCAUCAUCAUCAGUAGCUUCCUUCCAACUAUUUGAGAAAUUAUUAUGUAAAAUCAAUGCAGUGACAUUCCUUAAUAAGGAACUGUUUGUUUGGUUGCAAUUCAAAGUGAUUAUGUGUUCUCUCA